GGGAGGCCAAGCCGCGCCGAGAGCACAGCUGGCCAGACACCGUGGAGCCAGCCGACAGACGCAUGGAGCACCGCCCGCCCAGGCCCGCUUCCUCUGCAAACAUGCCCAGAUACUGUAUAAGUAGGUAAUGUUCUGGGGCCUGUUGGUUUCCAUGCCUCACUGUUACACAAUCCCACACUGAGUUCACCCUGUGAUGCCAGGAACAAGCCCAGGCUCUGCUGCCGUUACUCAGGUGCUGCUCUGUCCAAGAAAAACGCAGAGCAAUGCAGGUGGGCAGUAGGCAGGUUAGCCUGAUGGAAUGCCAGGAUUCCUGAGUGUCUCCACAACUCUGCCCGCUGGGUGCGAAGCUGGCCUCCCACCGAG